GAUGAACGCUAGCGGCAGGCUUAAUACAUGCAAGUCGAGGGGCAGCGGAGGUAGCAAUACCCGCCGGCGACCGGCAAACGGGUGCGGAACGCGUACGCAAUCUACCCUUAUCUGGGGCAUAGCCCGAAGAAAUUCGGAUUAAUACCUCAUGGUAUACUAAGAUGGCAUCAUUUUGGUAUUAAAGAUUCAUCGGAUAAGGAUGAGCGUGCGUCCCAUUAGCUAGUUGGUAGGGUAACGGCCUACCAAGGCGACGAUGGGUAGCUGGUGUGAGAGCACGACCAGCCACACGGGCACUGAGACACGGGCCCGACUCCUACGGGAGGCAGCAGUGAGGAAUAUUGGUCAAUGGACGCAAGUCUGAACCAGCCAUGCCGCGUGAAGGAUGAAGGCCUUCUGGGUUGUAAACUUCUUUUAUGUGGGAAGAAACCUCUGAUUUCUAUUAGAGUUGACGGUACCAUAGGAAUAAGCACCGGCUAACUCCGUGCCAGCCGCCGCCGUAA
rnacentral:rRNA from 1 species